GCGCUCCCGCGGCCACUGCUGGGGGCGGGCGGGCGCCCGGGGCCUUGAGCCACUUCUGUGCACAGCAGUUAAGUAACUCGGGGGCUUUGUGUGUCGAUGCGGGGGGCAGGGGUGGCCUUGGGUCCAACCGGCCGACCACGCUCCUGGGGGAGACAGGCAGAGGCGGGGGCCCGUGCCGCUGGGAGCGAGACUGCCGGACGGCGGGGGUCGCGAGGAGGGGGCCCCAAAGGCCGAGGGGACUGCGGGCACGGCGGGCGGCGGAGCCGGGAACGACGCGGGAGAAGGCGGGGUGCUGUUGCGCCGGGCGCCACGCGGGGGCGCCACGCACCCACCGGAGACUGCUGUUCAGAUCGGCCCGGCGCUCCGGAGCCGCAGGCCUGCCCGCUGGGCACCAGGGAACGAGCAGACGAGCCCGCACAGCCUUACAGUGUGUUUGUAUCCUGCCAGGCCCCUACCCUGGGUGCAGCUGGCGGGAAGCUGACCCCCGCCGGGCCGAGCCCUGAGGGCAUCGUGCGCCCAGCAGCCCCGGGGCGAAGGGGGAGCCUUUUUUAACCUCCGGCUGCAGGAAACAGACCAGUAGCUCAAGAGACAAGCUCAACUGUCAUUAAUUCGUUUUUCUGUAAUAUAUUCUUUUAAUUAAUUGACUAAUUAGUUUGGUUAUUCAUUUUACUGUCCAAGCGAUCUAACUGCACAACAAGCUUGGGCUAGUGACUAACGACUAACGACGGGAGCAAAGGGCGUGAACUUUCUCAUGGUGCUUGAUACACAUGUUGUAAAAUUGCUUUCCGAGAGGGCUCUUGGCUAUAAGUGUUAAAGAGAAUUCAUCCCAUAGGAUUUUAUGUAAAGGACAGAGGAUGAUCAAAUGAAUGGUGUCUUCAAUGACUCUCAUACCGCAAGUGGAAUAUUUGUGGCAGGUUCUAAGCUUUGCUUUUCUGAUCUCGGUCAUGGGAAAAGAGUAUCUGAUCCGUACUUGAGACGCCCAGUUGCCUGGAGGACUGGUUGCUGCAUGGCGCUGUGUUCACCAGGAUGAGCUCAGUUAUGCUGUGAUGACAGACGACCUCCGAGUAUCAGUGGCUUCAAACAAGACCAUUUCUCCCUUAGGCUCCCUGUGCCUGGGGGCCACCAAGGAGGCUCUUCUCAUUUUCUUAUUCAGGGACCUGGGCUGCUAGAUCAGCUGCCAUCUCAGACGCUGCCAAUCACCACACCAGAAGGAAAAUAUAAAAAGAGUCUUACACUCUGGAGAGUCUUACACUCCCAGUUAACAGCUGCCGCCCAGAGAGAGACCCCUGUGCCUUUCUGUUCACAGCUGUGUGUCUAGAACUAGUUACAGACCUCGCUCAACCACAAGGGGGCAGGAAAGAGCAACCCUACUGGGGCCUAGAAGGAAAAUUGCAACUAAUUGUACCAGCACAGGCCGCAGCCCCACCCAAGCACAAGGAGGCCGCCGAGAUUCUGGAACAUGCUAGCAGUCACCCAGUCUUCCACGGCCUGUCAUGGAGUCAGAGCCCCAGAAAGCCAAGAUGCUGGGCCCAGCAGCUUCCCUGAAGGAAGACGGCUCUUCUGCUAAUGAUGCCUUCAGCCUUUGUCAAGACCCCACAUGAGAAAUGGUCACAGCAGCUUCCAUUCGACCGCUUUGUUCUUUUCCACGAGGAAAACACACGGCUACUCGUUUCUACAACUACUCUCCACACUGCCACACUUACUUUUUUUUUUUUGAGAACUUCAAAGGUGCACAAAAAUAGGGAGAAUGAUGGACCCCUUCAUCAUCGGGCUUGACCAUUCCCAAAGUCUGCCUUUCAUGUUCCAUGAAUUCCCUCCCUUGUGUUCAUUUCUGCUGGAGUAUUACAAAGCAAAUCUCAGACAGCCUA